ensembl:lncRNA
AGCCAGCUAAAACCUGCCGUUGCAUUUUAAAUACACGACUUUGCUCUUGAUAAAGCUCUCAACAUGUGCGCCCUUCUGUUUAACUCUCCCUAGGUGGGAUAAAAUGUAGGGAAACGAGGUUAAGUUGAGCAGAAUACGUAUUUCAAGAACUGAGUGUACUCUUUCAAUCUGAUGACUUAUCUGAGAGAAAGAGGAAAAGCAACCAAAUUGAACCUAUGACACCACAUAAUACGAGAUAACCACGUCGAGUUCUACAACAAUUCAAUUUUUAAAACAGAAAAUUUGUCUAUGAAACCAUGAACUUGGGAUUCUGUGUCUACUGUAUAGCUGUAAAUUAGGCUAUUCGGCGGUCGCCGCGGUUCUAACCUCCUUGCUCUCCCUCGUAAAUGACAAGGCACCUCUAACCUACGGCUUUGUGUCUUGUUUUUUUUCCCCUGUGUGAAUUUCAAAGCAAAAGCGAGCGGUGAAUACCUUUCAGUGGCCGGUACGCGUCGGGGUCGCCCUCUUCGCACUUAAAGACGCUGGUCCAUGCGAGGGCCAAUGCAGAUUUCGGUGGCCGAGGGGUGGAACUCGGAGCAGGCAGGGCAGAACCUUCGACCCUGAGGGACCUCCGGGCUAGCUUUGGAGUAGGCGAGACAGACAGAAACGGAGCGAGGGAGGGAGAGAGAGGGAGAGAGAACAGGAGCAAGCCUCGAUCUGGGAGAGGGGGAGUCUCGACCGCAGUGUAGUGAGAAGGGACUGCCACUGGGGUCAGAGAGCACGUUCUAGAGCACAGCCCCGCUUAGGCAUGGCGGCGUGUAUAGGGUUUGAAUAUGUAGCCUACCCCACUGUACACUGUCUGUAUGCAGGGAGGAACAGCCAUGAUAGACGCGGCGGCGCUUCCAUGUGGUGAAUUUCCAUGCUGCCGUUGUAUUUCGCGCUCUUAGAAUGUCCUUAUUAAGCUACCGAUUGAGUAUUGGGCACAAUUGUGGUGGGCUAGAUCAAAGUGCUAACUGGAUAGUGGUCUUGGACACUGAAAAGUUAAAUGGAGCAUUGGAAAGGUGUUUGUCACCUCUGAUCAUCAAAGAAGUCUGUUGACAUGCAAGGACCACGACAGGAUUGGAAACUACCCAUGAGGCAGGGAAGCUUAAUUCACCAGGCUGUCGGGGCUGUCUCCUGUUUCCUCUUAACCUUCCCCAAUGGACAUAUUAGGCCGUAAAUUUACACCCAAGGUCAACAACUCUGGGAAUCUAUUACCAUGAAGCACAAGAAAAAGGAUACCAGGAAAAGAUAGAGUGGGCCAAGGAUGAGUGAACCCCCCACCCCCCCUCCCCCCCUUUACACCAGGACAAGAGAGCUGGAUCAGGAAUAUUACCGCAGUCAUUAUAGAAAACUGUCUGCAUUUCGAAAAGGGAUCAAAGGGUAGGGCAUUUUGUCAAAACUGAUCAAUGUGGAAGUGUCAAC